GGUGGAGCCAGAAGGCCUAGUUCCCACAGGACCCCCAGAGAGAGGCUCAAAGCACCCAAAGAAAGAUGACGCCUAUAAGGUACUUCUGCAAAAAGAGACUGAAAGGGCAGAAGUACAGAUCCAUCUAGCAGAGGAACAGCUUAUUCUUGCCCGACUGCAGCAAACCAAGGCCAGACUUGAGAUCCGCCUCCUAAAGGCCAAGCUUGGACAAGCUGGUCUCUCCACAGCAGACGAAGCAGAUGAUGAUGAUGAAGAAGAAGGAGAACUCAUAAGAAGAACUACUCAAAACAAGAACUAAGAAGUCUCAGAUGAGUGGACUGCCUGUUUCCAAGAAAUGGACAAUGGAGGGGGAUGUUUAUAUUGUUUGUUUGCUGUUCCGUUCAGUCCUAUUUUCUGUUCAAAUAAAGCAUAUUGGAGUGACCCCACACUAUUCUACCUGUUGUUCUUUACAUAGCUACAUUGUGAUAGUCCCAUUUAGACCACAGGUAAUCCAGAUUUGGUAAUCCUGAAAAAUUUGAAUCCGGAU